UACAGAGGUGGCAAGCGUUGUUCGGAAUUACUGGGCGUAAAGCGCGCGUAGGCGGCUUUGUAAGUCAGAGGUGAAAGCCUGGAGCUCAACUCCAGAACUGCCUUUGAAACUACAUCGCUAGAAUCAUGGAGAGGUUAGUGGAAUUCCGAGUGUAGAGGUGAAAUUCGUAGAUAUUCGGAAGAACACCAGUGGCGAAGGCGACUAACUGGACAUGUAUUGACGCUGAGGUGCGAAAGCGUGGGGAGCAAACAGG
rnacentral:rRNA from 1 species